rnacentral:misc_RNA from 1 species
AACUUUUGACAAUGGAUCUCUUGGCUCUCGCAUCGAUGAAGAACGCAGCGAAAUGCGAUAAGUAAUGUGAAUUGCAGAACUCAGUGAAUCAUCGAAUCUUUGAACGCACCUUGCGCUCCCUGGUAUUCCGGGGAGCACGCCUGUUCGAGCGUCGCGAAAUUUCUCAAGCUUGGAUGGCCUUCUUGUCUGUCCUUAGCCUUGGCUGUUCGGCUUUGCGGUGUCCUUUGUUGGGGCGGCUGGCCUUAAAAGCGUUAGCUGAUCCUCGUGUGGCACUGGUUCUACUCAGCGUGAUAACAGUCUGAUCGCUGAGGACAUCUUUUGGGAUGGCCAGUUCUCAUUUGGGUUGCUUCCAAACUUGGUUUUGCAGAUUCUUCUAUCUGUGUUCCACGUUUCAGCUUUGACCUCGAAUCAGGUGGGACUACCCGCUGAACUUAAGCAUAUCAAUAAGCGGAGGCU